AUCAAACAUGGAGUCAGUCAACAGCUCUCUGUGAUUAUAAAGACAUCAAACAUGGAGUCAGUCAACAGCUCUCUGUGAUUAUAAAGUCAUCAAACAGGGAGUCAGUCAACAGCUCUCUGUGAUUAUAAAGUCAUCAAACAUGGAGUCAGUCAACAGCUCUCUGUGAUUAUAAAGUCAUCAAACAUGGAGUCAGUCAACAGCUCUCUGUGAUUGUAAAGUCAUCAAACAUGGAGUCAGUCAACAGCUUAUUCCUCUCAGUCCAACAGACAAAAUGAUCAAUAUCAUUACUUAAAUCAUAUAGUCAUAUUGAUUGAUAAAGAUGACACAAACAGCAGCAGGCAUGCUAAGUUCAGGCAUUCUGGAACAUUCCAGGGAGAUUCUGAUUCAGAGGGGGGCGGGGUUUAGGCUAGGUAGCUGUCUGUCUGUCAUCGGAAGACCAGCGUGGAGGCCUUGAGACAGGUGAAGGAGGCAGUGAGACAGGUGAAGGAGGCAGUGAGACAGGUGAAGAAGAGAGAAACAGACAGGUAGAUCUGAGAUGCAUCUCCACACUCCUUGGCGUUUACCUGAAAUCAAUCGUUGACACAGUUACAGCCAGUGGUCUAAUGAAAACAUGUUAUUACACAAGGAGAAGUGCUAACCUUUCUUCUUCUUGGUCCUCCCAUCACAUGAAAUAACUGUGAAAACUAUGAUUUGUUGUUGUUGUUUAUCCUUCAUUUAACUAGGCAAGUCAGUUAAGAACAAAUUCUGAUUUUCAAUGACGGCCUAGGAACAGUGGGUUAACGUGUUCAAUCCAUUUGGUUGAUUUAAAAAUACAGUAUAUAAAAUACCCGUCCAGCAUCACUACUCUGGACGGCUCUGACUUAGAAUAUGUGGAUAACUACAAAUACCUAGGUGUCUGGUUAGACUGUAAACUCUCCUUCCAGACUCACAUUAAGCAUCUCCAAUACAAAAUUAAAUCUAGAAUCGGCUUCCUAUUUCGCAACAAAGCAUCCUUCACUCAUGCUGCCAAAUAUACCCUCGUAAAACUGACCAUCCAACCAAUCCUCGACUAUGGCGAUGUCAUUUAUAAAAUAGCCUCUACUCAACAAAUUGGAUGCGGUCUAUCACAGUGCCAUCCGUUUUGUCACCAAAGCCCCAUAUACUACCCACCACCUCGACCUGUAUGCUCUCGUUGGCUGUCCCUCGCUUCACUCUCGUCGCCAAACCAACUGGCUCCAAGUCAUCUACAAGUCUCUGCUAGGUCAAGCCCCACCUUAUCUCAGCUCACUGGUCACCAUAGCAGCACCCACCCGUAGCACGCGCUCCAACAGGUAUAUUUCACUGGUCACCCCCAAAGCCAAUUCAUCUUUGGCCGCCUUUCCUUCCAGUUCUCUGCUGCCAAUGACUGGAAGGAACUACUGUAAUUUAAUUAAUUAAUUUAUUUUGCUCCUUUGCACCCCAUUAUUUUUAUUUCUACUUUGCACAUUCUUCCAUUGCAAAUCUACCAUUCCAGUGUUUUACUUGCUAUAUUGUAUUUACUUUGCCACCAUGGCCUUUUUUGCCUUUACCUCCCUUCUCACCUCAUUUGCUCACGUUGUAUAUAGACUUGUUUAUACUAUAUUAUUGACUGUAUGUUUGUUUUACUCCAUGUGUAACUCUGUGUCGUUGUAUCUGUCGAACUGCUUUGCUUUAUCUUGGCCAG
ensembl:lncRNA